GAUCCUCUCCGUACCUCAACUCAUCUAUGACCUAAGGACUAAAAUAAUGAACAGUCCUCCUGAUAUACCGCGUCCAGUCUGCAACCCUAGCAAACCGUAUUUGGGAUCAAUCCCUGGAGGCUUGAGACCUGGUGUGGCUUUGUUCUUUCAGGG